UUCACUGAUCCAAAAACUUGUAGCUGUGUUCAUGAAAUUGGAGAAAGGAAAAAGAAAUGUGAAGGUAAAACAUGAAAAUGAAUGAUUUUUUCAAAUUUGCACGGUUGAUUUGCUAUGUUGCUCCGACUCUCCAAAAAUAAUGCCACACUCCUGUCGGAUCCUUAAAAAAUGUACUACUUUUAUAUAUUAAGAAGCAGGGAGAUCGACAACUCUCCUCAGUGCACUGAUAUCCUUUGGUGUUCGGAUGGAAAUUAAUCUGGGUUUACUUUGUUCUUUUGCAGGAUACGUUUUGAUAGUUGUCAAUUCUCACCUGCUGAUGGCAUUUUACAUGUCCAGCAAAGUAGGAAUCAGACCUGAAGGUACUGACUAGAGCAGCCAUAUUGAUUUUUCAACACAUACACCCCCGGCCAAAAGGUUUCAUUUUUCCCCUCUUGUUUUUCUUCUCUAACACAAGAUUCAUUUUAUUAAACUAGAGUGCAGUCGAUUUUUGGAAUUAGCAUGUAGGUGUAACAGCGCAGUUUUAUGUAGAUAGAUCUUUGGUCUCUGAGUUGAAUACUUAAGAAAUACAUGGCAAUUGAUUUAGAGUUGAGAGGAUGUUGUAGUAUUUGUAUUGUUCAGUCAUAAUUGCAGAUAAUAAGGUAUCUUCACACAACUUUUUUGGUUCUCUUUUGUGCUAUGUUCUAUUUUUAUUUAUUUAUUUUCGAUAACGAUGCUAUUUGGAUCAACUUGCAUAAUGAUUAACUUAUGAUCACUUUGGGUUACAUUCAAUGUAUUCAUUCAGCAUUAAGAUAUGCCAAAUAUUUGACAUAAUGUUAACAGUGAACCAAGGGCCUUUCAGAAACGUCUCUACCACCUUCACAAGGUAGGGAUAAGGUCAGGGUACACAAGACCCCACUUGUAGGGUUACACGAGUGAGUCAGUGAAAGCCAAAAAGAAAAAAAAAGUGGAGUUCCUGUAACUUUCUUAAAUAGUACCAACAGAAUGGGGUCUCAAAAAGAGAUCCAAAUCAUGCAGCCCAAUCUUGUCUUAUAUUCAAAUGUACAGUACUUGUAGCUCAUAAUGCCAUGAUAGAUGACUAAUAUAUUGUCUCUAAUGAAUGAGAUUUUUGUGAAUUUUAUACUUUUGUAGUUGGAGGCAUGUCAAUUUUCAAUGACAUCCAUCAGUCCUUCAAUUUUAUUUAAUACUGCUGUAUGCAUCAAGAGAGAAGAGUAUUUUAUUAUCUAGAAAAAACCAGGAAGAUGAAGG
rnacentral:lncRNA from 1 species